AUGAGGCACUUCUGUUCGAACUUCUAUAGGGCAUGUGGCCUUAAGGAGUUGGCCGAUGAUCUUCAAGAUUGUUGUCUCGCUUUCUCCGAUAAGCGCUUCGCCACUUUGUACAACAAAUUGCUCGCACACAAAAAACUUGAUCCCGGGGGUCAAGAUUUUCUCAAUAGGCACAUUCAAUACCGGAACAAGUGGGCACGUGCUUUUGAUGAAGAUGGCCGGAGAUACGGUCAAAUGACAAGCAAUAUGGCCGAAUGCUUCAAUAGGGUGCUCAAAGGUGCACGUGGAUUACCCGUGACGGCAAUAGUUCAAUACACAUUUGACAAGAUGAAUGCGUACUUUGUAAAGUACUCGAUGGAAACCGAUGCACAGAUAGCGGGUGAGAACCCACGGAAGUACAAGUACAAGUUCCCACCCAAAGUUGAUGAAUGGUUGGCAUUUCAAUCACGGAAGGCGGACUCAGAAGAAGCUAUAUUAUAUGACAACGAAGAGUGGAAGUACGAAGUGAAAGAGCCAGGAGGAACCACAAACGAUGGCCGGCAACAUGGAGGUCGGGCUUUCAAGGUGUCGUUAACACAAUGUGAUUGCACUUGCGGGAGGCCAUUGUUGCUUCAUCUCCCAUGCUCACAUUUGUAUGCCGCCGGCCGCGUUAGGAAUGUGGACAUCAAUCACCCACGCAUGGCCCAAUCCUUGAUCUUCCGCUGCUUUUUCCUAUCCAACCUGCAAGUUAGAAACAAGAUAUUAGCAUCAUCGAAACCGUCGAGAAGCUGCUAA
rnacentral:rRNA from 1 species